rnacentral:rRNA from 1 species
UACGUAGGGGGCAAGCGUUGUCCGGAAUCAUUGGGCGUAAAGCGCGCGUAGGCGGCUCGAUCAGUCCGCUGUAAAAGUCCAGGGCUCAACCCUGGAAAGCCGGUGGAUACUGUCGGGCUAGAGUCCGGAAGAGGCGAGUGGAAUUCCUGGUGUAGCGGUGGAAUGCGCAGAUAUCAGGAGGAACACCAGAGGCGAAGGCGGCCCACUGGGCUGCACCUGACGCUGAGCCGCGAAAGCCAGGGGAGCGAACAGG